GGAAGGGGUCAAUCAUUCUGGAGCUCAGGCUGGCCCCUUUGGUUAAGCGGUUGUCGGUGUGUAGCCGGGGUUUCCGCUUCUUCCCUCGGGGCGUCCAGGCACCGAUGCACACAGGUGCUGGACUCAAAGGAACCGAGCUUAGCUGGGAGGGUGGAUCUUUAGGAUCCGGAUUUGGCAGUGAAUGCCCCGGAAGAGACUGAGGUCUCCGAUAAGGCUGUUCUGAUGAUGCUGUCGGUCCUGCUUCCUCCUACCCCUCGGAAAGUCCAGGCGCCAGAGCGCGAGGGCGCUGGACCCGAAGGAAUGAAGCCUACCCGGUCUGCAUUUUUUGUGAGAGACUGCCCUCCAAGCCAAACAACAGCCAUCUUGAGAAGUUCAGCUGUGUUCAUUGCAAAAGGAUUAUCUCUACUGGGCUCGUUGACUGUUUACACGACCACACAAGGGUGUGGGUCGGGGUCGGGAGACCCUCUGAGCAGCCAGUGGCUCCCUUCUACCUGCUGUAUGCAACUCUACCUGAAGCGCUGGUGACCUCGAGGAGACAUUAUGAUAUAUAGGGUCUCGCCCUGUAAUCCACCUGCCCUCGUACUUGAGAGCCUUCUUCCUCAGCCUCCUGAGUGUUGGAAUUACAGGUAUUACAGAAUUACACCAUGCCCUGCUCCAUGCCUCUCUCCCUCUCUUUCUGUCUUUCUUUCUUUUAGACGUGGUCUUUCAUUAACCCUGGAGCUCAUGAAUUUGCCCAGACUGGCUGCAUAGCUAGUCUUUGGUGAUUUCUUGUCUCUGACUUCCCAGAAUUACUGGGAUGCACUGCCUUACUGGAGCUGUGGGUGCAUGUGUGCAUGUGCAUGCGUGUAUUUGGGGGGAGGUUUGUGUAUCAUAGGUCUACAUGCCUUCAUAGCAAGCACUUUACUAACCAAGGUAUCUCCUCAGCCCCCAUUAAAUUUUCAUAAUGUUUUCUGACAAGCAGAAGUUAAUUUUAAUGAAGUGAAAUAUGUGACUAUGUUCUUACUUGUAUGCUACCGAGACGCCCCAGAAACCAGAGCCUGAUUUGAUUAGGGGCUCCAAGGUACAGGGAUGAAGGCCACGGACAGAGAAAGAGUGGGGAUCAACAUGACGAUGCUUCAAGUUAAACUACUUACUCAUUCUGAGGACCAUGAUGUCACUAAACAAACUGUAUAUUAAGACAAUCCCAGAGACAUGAGCUAGGGCAGGAAAUGGGGGGUAUUAGUCACUAACUGUUGCUCUGAUGUCAAUCCAAAAGUUCAUCCUGAGAAAGAGUUAUCACUCUCACACUCCCCAGUUGGAUAUCUAUGGGUUUAUCUAAUAAAGCAGCAGUUUUCUUUAGCCCCCCGCUAGUCUCCAAAAUAAUUGACACAGAGAGACUAUGAUUUAUUUUACAAGCUUAAAGCACUGGAGCUGGGCAGAUUUCAACCCUCUAAGUUAUGCAGCUAUUUCUCAGCUCCACAACCCAUACAUCAUCCUUGCCGGGCUCAGUCGGCUCCAUCGGGCCACGACCUCCUAGUACAUCUUCUGUCUCUUCCUCCUCUCUCUCCUUGCCUCGCCGUCCCUCGACUCCAGCCUUUGAACCCCAAACUCUGCCUCCUUUUCUUCUGCCAAACCCCAAGCUUCAGCAUUCUUUAAUUAGCCAACUUUAAGUUAGGCAGAGCAAGGUUUACACAAGAAGGACAGGUCUAAGUGAGAAUGUGCCUGGCUGGGAAGCAACCAGAU